CGAACGUUGGAAACAGCGGUUAGGAGCUUACACCCACCCGUGUCUACAUACUAUUGUUGCUUUGGCGGGCCGUGGCCUCCACUGCGGGCUCUGCUCGUGUGUGCCCGCCAGAGAACCAAACUCUGAAUGUUAGUGAUGUCUGAGUACUAUCUAAUAGUUAAAACUUUCAACAACGGAUCUCUUGGUUCUGGCAUCGAUGAAGAACGCAGCGAAAUGCGAUAAGUAAUGUGAAUUGCAGAAUUCAGUGAAUCAUCGAAUCUUUGAACGCACAUUGCGCCCUGUGGUAUUCCGCAGGGCAUGCCUGUUCGAGCGUCAUUUAACCACUCACGCCUAGCGUGGUAUUGGGGCACGCGGUCUCCGCGGCCCUCAAAAUUAGUGGCGGCGCCGGUGGGCUCUAAGCGUAGUACAUACUCCCGCUAUAGAGUUCCCCCGGUGGCUCGCCAGAACCCCCAAUUUUUCAGGUUGACCUCGGAUCAGGUAGGGAUCCCGCUGAACUUAAGCU
rnacentral:rRNA from 1 species